ACGAAAACAAAAUGUUUCCCAACAAGAAUUGCGGUUUAUUAAUAAAAUUAAAUAAAGAUAAUUAUGAGUGAUAAGCACUUUAUUUGCUGUAAGUUCACAUCAACAGAUAGAACACACUUUAAAUAUAAAAAAGUGUUAAAUAUGUCACUUCAACUAUUGCUUGAACGUAUCGUUUUGUAUUCUUCAUGAAGAGCUCGUGGUAGUAUAUUGACUGUUGCUGAGAUGGAAAUGUGUUUACCAUUAUAUAUUUCAUUAUCAGUGAAGGACAUGAAAUGAAUAAAUUUAUCACAUCAUAUUUCAUUAUCAACAGCGUAAUAGAGACAAGUUUGUAUGGCAAUUUAAAUUAAAAUGAACUUAUGAAUGUAGAGGAAUGUUCGUCGCAACUAUCUAUUACUAUAAAUACGUAGUAAUAGAUGAAAUACUGGAAAUGGAUGAUUUCACUCCAGUGCUGAACAACCCUUCUCAAGUUAUAAAUGUUUCGAAAUCCGUCAUAAUAUACAGAUAAGUACUUACACAACAAUCUAAAGCAAUCAGGUCCGCGUUUCCGAAUAUACGAAAGAAAUGGAAACUUUGCAGAUUUCCAUUAUAUCCAGGGACGGACAAUCCGGGUUAAUGCAACAACCACAAACGUAAUUAAUAAAUCAAAUUGUAAAAAUAAGGAGAUAAUCUAGAGAUGUUAAUUAAGUAAAAGUUAUGCCUAGGCAUAUUUUAGAAAAAUAAACAGAAAGUGACCUAAAUAGAAUGAGAAGAAAUUAUAAAUCUCGUUACUUUUAUAAGAAACAUCGAAGAAUAAAUGUUACUAGUUUAAAAAGUAUUAAAAGUUCUGUUUUUAAAAUUAUGUUGAGGACAUUUAAU